AAGAUUUGUUCAGGCGUGAAUGUAUGUGCUUUAAGUUUAAAUAUGCGGUCGGUUAAUAUAGAUAGCGUCUAUUUAAAAAUGUGCUCGGAACAUUUCGGACGGAGAAGAGCUCCAGAAGAGCUCCAGAAAAUCACAGACACUUAAGCGCUCACACCCCGCCCAGCGCAGCCUCGCCUCGGCAAGCCCAUCAGAAAUCGACUGCUGGCUCUGAUAUCUCUGUGGCGUUUAAACAUGCGAUUUAAUUCAUUUUAAUUUCUUAUACUUAAUAAUAAAAGGUUUACCGGUAUGUUUUAAAUCAUAUUUUAGGAUUGCACUUAAAUGAUAUCGCUGUUGAAUGAUAUUUCAUAUCUUUCACAUUUGUUAUAACUGGGCUGCGUACUGCCUGCGAAUUUGAACUUCAGAGCUGAAGGUGCGAGUGGAGAAAUAGUCCCAAUAUCAUAACAAUCUUAAAACUUCUAAAUAUACCCGUGUGUGUACCCGUGUGCGUGCGUGUGUGCGCGCGCGCGUGCUCGCGCGUGUACAUGUAUGUAUGUAUGUAUGUAUGUAUGCGCGUGCGUCUGUGUAUUUUGAAUUUAAAAUGUUUUAUCUCGGAAGGAUCUGGAUCACAGGUCAUUUCAUCUGAGAUCAAUCCGCACGCAACAGCUGGAAUCACUUACUGAUUCACACAAGGGAGGACACAAGUCAGCCGUUUCCUCAAGUUCACGUCAGAGCGGAGAUGAUGUGAGAGGCAGACCCGAGACAUAGCGAGACAGUCUCCGCUUGGACUGGCUGAGGAAAGUCUCCUAAAUGGCCCUGGAGAUGUUCUGACUGACUUUGGAGGCUUUUUGGACUGUUUUAUGCCCUCUAUUUAAAGAAGACUUAAUUCUGUAUGUUCAGUCUGUAUGAUAAGUGAAUAAAAAGCUUUUGUUUUUAUGUGA